rnacentral:rRNA from 1 species
GACAGAGGGUGCGAACGUUGUUCGGAAUUACUGGGCGUAAAGCGCAUGUAGGCGGCAGCGCAAGUCGGGCGUGAAAUCCCACGGCUCAACCGUGGAAGUGCACUCGAAACUGCGCAGCUAGAGUCCUGGAGAGGAAGGUGGAAUGCUUGGUGUAGAGGUGAAAUUCGUAGAUAUCAAGCGGAACACCGGUGGCGAAGGACGGCCUUACUGGACAGUGACUGACGCUGAGAUGCGAAAGCGUGGGGAGCAAACAGG